GGUUAAGCGACUAAGCGUACACGGUGGAUGCCUAGGCAGUCAGAGGCGAUGAAGGGCGUGCUAAUCUGCGAAAAGCGUCGGUAAGCUGAUAUGAAGCGUAAUAACCGACGAUACCCGAAUGGGGAAACCCAGUGCAAUUCGUUGCACUAUCGUUAGAUGAAUACAUAGUCUAACGAGGCGAACCGGGGGAACUGAAACAUCUAAGUACCCCGAGGAAAAGAAAUCAACCGAGAUUCCCCCAGUAGCGGCGAGCGAACGGGGAGGAGCCCAGAGUCUGAAUCAAGUGGUGUGUUAGUGGAAGCGUCUGGAAAGUCGCACGGUACAGGGUGAUAGUCCCGUACACCAAAACACACUGCUUGUGAACUCGAUGAGUAGGGCGGGACACGUGACAUCCUGUCUGAAUAUGGGGGGACCAUCCUCCAAGGCUAAAUACUCCUGACUGACCGAUAGUGAACCAGUACCGUGAGGGAAAGGCGAAAAGAACCCCGGCGAGGGGAGUGAAAUAGAACCUGAAACCGUGUACGUACAAGCAGUGGGAGCACCUUCGUGGUGUGACUGCGUACCUUUUGUAUAAUGGGUCAGCGACUUAUAUUUUGUAGCAAGGUUAACCGAAUAGGGGAGCCGUAGGGAAACCGAGUCUUAACUGGGCGUCUAGUUGCAAGGUAUAGACCCGAAACCCGGUGAUCUAGCCAUGGGCAGGUUGAAGGUUGGGUAACACUAACUGGAGGACCGAACCGACUAAUGUUGAAAAAUUAGCGGAUGACUUGUGGCUGGGGGUGAAAGGCCAAUCAAACCGGGAGAUAGCUGGUUCUCCCCGAAAGCUAUUUAGGUAGCGCCUCGUGAACUCAUCUUCGGGGGUAGAGCACUGUUUCGGCUAGGGGGCCAUCCCGGCUUACCAAACCGAUGCAAACUCCGAAUACCGAAGAAUGUUAUCACGGGAGACACACGGCGGGUGCUAACGUCCGUCGUGAAGAGGGAAACAACCCAGACCGCCAGCUAAGGUCCCAAAGUCAUGGUUAAGUGGGAAACGAUGUGGGAAGGCAUAGACAGCCAGGAUGUUGGCUUAGAAGCAGCCAUCAUUUAAAGAAAGCGUAAUAGCUCACUGGUCGAGUCGGCCUGCGCGGAAGAUGUAACGGGGCUAAACCAUGCACCGAAGCUGCGGCAGCGACGCUUAGGCGUUGUUGGGUAGGGGAGCGUUCUGUAAGCCGUUGAAGGUGGUCUGUGAGGACUGCUGGAGGUAUCAGAAGUGCGAAUGCUGACAUAAGUAACGAUAAUGCGGGUGAAAAACCCGCACGCCGGAAGACCAAGGGUUCCUGUCCAACGUUAAUCGGGGCAGGGUGAGUCGACCCCUAAGGCGAGGCUGAAAAGCGUAGUCGAUGGGAAACAGGUUAAUAUUCCUGUACUUGGUGUUACUGCGAAGGGGGGACGGAGAAGGCUAGGCUAGCCGGGCGACGGUUGUCCCGGUUUAAGCAUGUAGGCGGAGUGACUUGGUAAAUCCGGUUGCUUAUCAACGCUGAGGUGUGAUGACGAUGCACUACGGUGCAGAAGUAGUUGAUGCCAUGCUUCCAGGAAAAGCCUCUAAGCAUCAGGUAACA
rnacentral:rRNA from 1 species